GGUUGGGGCUCAGUGGUAGAGCACUUGCCUAGCAUGUGUGAAGCCCUGGGUACGAGUCUCAGCACCAAGUA
rnacentral:tRNA from 1 species